GAGUUUGAUCCUGGCUCAGAACGAACGCUGGCGGCGCGUUUUAAGCAUGCAAGUCGCACGGYAAGGGGCUUCGGCCCCCCMGAGUGGCGGACGGGUGAGUAACACGUGGACAAUCUGCCCCCCGGACGGGGAUAGCCCAUGGAAACAUGGGGUAAUACSGGAUACSACCACGGGUGCACAAGCACCUGUGAGGAAAGGCGCCAAGGCGCCGUCGGGGGAUGAGUCCGCGGUCCAUUAGCUAGUUGGUGGGGUAAUGGCCCACCAAGGCUACGAUGGUUAGCUGGUCUGAGAGGAUGAUCAGCCACACUGGAACUGAGACACGGUCCAGACUCCUACGGGAGGCAGCAGUGGGGAAUUUUGCGCAAUGGGGGAAACCCUGACGCAGCAACGCCGCGUGAGUGAUGAAGGCUUUCGGGUCGUAAAGCUCUGUCAGARGGGAAGAAAUGGAACUGGCUUAUAUCCAGUUUUCUUGACGGUACCCUCAAAGGAAGCACCGGCUAACUCCGUGCCAGCAGCCGCGGUAAUAC
rnacentral:rRNA from 1 species